CUAUUUCCAAAAUGCUCCCCUACUUGAAUGUUGGUUAAAAGAUCAACAUUGUUUGUUAUAACGAGAUCCAGACAAGCGUCCAUUCUAGUUGGUGCUUGUACCAGUUGUGACAUAAAGGUGUCAUUUAACACAUUCAAAAACCUGAUUCCCCUUGCUGAAGUACUAGUCCCUCUGUCCCAAUUUAUGUCCGGGUAAUUAAAAUCUCCAAUAAUUAAC